ACGGACGAGGGUGACUACCAGAUCAAGCUGCGUAACAUGCGUCGUUUUCUGGAAGAGGGUGAUAAAGUUAAGAUUAACAUUCGCUUCCGUGGCCGUGAGAUGAGCCAUCAAGAAUUAGGUCGACAGAUGGCAGCGCGUAUUGAAAUGGAUCUUGGUGAUGAUGUCGUUAUUGAAUCCCGUCCCCGCUUAGAAGGGCGACAGAUGGUGAUGAUGGUUGCGCCGAGGAAAAAAAGCUAAGACGUCUUUCAUUUAAUUUUUUAUCUUUGUACCGAAGCAUCUCAUUUACAAAAUGUUUUGUCUCCUGGCAUACUAGCAGAUCAGCUUCUUGGAGCUGG
rnacentral:misc_RNA from 1 species